rnacentral:rRNA from 1 species
AUGAACGCUGGCGGCGUGCCUAAUACCUGCCAGUCGAGCGAACAGACGAGGAGCUUGCUCCUCUGACGUUAGCGGCGGACGGGUGAGUAACACGUGGAUAACCUACCUAUAAGACUGGGAUAACUUCGGGAAACCGGAGCUAAUACCGGAUAAUAUAUUGAACCGCAUGGUUCAAUAGUGAAAGACGGUUUUGCUGUCACUUAUAGAUGGAUCCGCGCCGCAUUAGCUAGUUGGUAAGGUAACGGCUUACCAAGGCGACGAUGCGUAGCCGACCUGAGAGGGUGAUCGGCCACACUGGAACUGAGACACGGUCCAGACGCCUACGGGAGGCAGCAGUAGGGAAUCUUCCGCAAUGGGCGAAAGCCUGACGGAGCAACGCCGCGUGAGUGAUGAAGGUCUUCGGAUCGUAAAACUCUGUUAUUAGGGAAGAACAAAUGUGUAAGUAACUAUGCACGUCUUGACGGUACCUAAUCAGAAAGCCACGGCUAACUACGUG